rnacentral:rRNA from 1 species
UACGGAGGGUGCAAGCGUUGCUCGGAAUUAUUGGGCGUAAAGCGCACGUAGGCGGCCUGCUAAGUCGGGUGUGAAAGCCCUCGGCUUAACCGAGGAAGUGCAUUCGAAACUGGCAGGCUAGAGUCCUGGAGAGGGCGGCGGAAUUCCCGGUGUAGAGGUGAAAUUCGUAGAUAUCGGGAGGAACACCAGUGGCGAAGGCGGCCGCCUGGACAGACACUGACGCUGAGGUGCGAAAGCGUGGGGAGCAAACAGG